CCCCUGGGUCAGCCUCCUAAACAGCUUAUCCCUUCAGAGGGAGCUAAGCACCCAGAAAACAGGGGUAGAGGCUACAUACCUCCUUCUUAGGUUGUCACUGGAGUGUGCACAGGGGUUUCCCACUCGUGCCCAGAAUUGUCCCCCUGCAGGAGGAGGAAGCAGGGUCCCUCAGACAUAUGAGCACAACAACAGCUCGGUCCCAGACUCCGGCCUCACCCCUCCUGCCUCUCAGCUGGAGCAGAAACCAGUCAGGAAGGACCCUCAGCCCCAGAGGAAACCAUCUGCAGACAGCGUCUCGGGGACACAGGCAGGACAGUGCAGCCUCCUGAGCCAAGCCCAAGCCUCUGGAAGAAAGCUCCCUUCUACGUUACAGCCGAGACCAAAAGCCAACACCAUUCAAGUGAGAGGCAGAGACCAAGAUGAGCCUUGUGGUCACAGGGGGGUGGGGGAACUGGGGGAAGCUGGUGCAAAAGGUCCCCCUCCACUUAGAAGAUGACCGAGUCCUAGGGGUGUGACGGCCAGCAGGAUAUGUGUAACCUACACGGCCGGACACUGUAGAGCAAGCUUAUUCAAAGUCUUAUUCUUAAGAGUUCUCAUCACAAGGGAAAAAGUUUUUUUCUAUUUCUGAAUUGGGUUUCUCCAGGAAAUGAUCGAUGUUCCCUAAAAUUGUUCUGGACGUGAUUUCAUGAUAUAAGUCAUAUCUCCCUGCUGGACAUGUGCGGCUUACCUGGUGCCGUGUGUCCGUUCUACCUCAAAACUGGAGGAAAAGUGGGGGAAUAUAUUCCACAGUGCUUUGCAGCUCUGCAGAGUUGUAUGACUUUUAUGAGCCAAGAGGGGUCCUGAGGGCAUGAAGGCAAAUGGGGGGUCAGGUUGCCUAGAUAUAGGGAGUCGCUCUGUUGUGUUACAGGCACUAAAACAGUGCUGAAGGUCCAUUCUGUUCCAGACACCAACUCGCAGAAAGAGAGAUGAGAGCUCUGGUUCCCGCAGGCGGGAGGGGGGAGGCGGGGAAUGUACCGCCAUCCUGUCGUGAGAUAAACUCGUCCCGGGAUGAAAUGUGCAUGAUCAAUGCCACUAACACCCACGCACGUCAUCCCCAGAGUCGUUGAGACGGCCAAUCCUAAGAGUUCCUAUCAGAGGAAAAACGGUUUUCCUGUUCUUUCAUUUUGUAUCUACAGGAGGUGACGGAGCUUCAGAAAACUUACACUAGACGUCACGUCAGGAUGUGAGUCACAUCGCAAGGCUGGACACCUCAGUGAAACUGGAUGAAGGACAAGGUAAAUCUAAUGGUAAAAAAUGAAAUCUAAGAACUGUCUAUGUAUUAACUCUAAAAAAUUCACCCCACGUUUGCGUAGAUGAAUGUCCUUCAUAUGUUCCUUUUUGGGUAUUUUUCUUUCUUGCUUUUGUUUCCCCCCUGAGGUGUACAGAGGCUUGAUGUGGAAUCUCAGUUCCCAGCCCAGGGAUGGAACAUGGGCCACGGCAGUCAAACGAGCUGAAACUGAACCCUAGACCCCCAGAGAACUCCCUUCUGGACGCACUCUUAUUAGAAAAUUAAGAGCUUCUGCAUUUCCAUCCAAUUAGCCAGGAAGAACUAUAGAAAUGGAAGACAAUUUUCUGGCUUAUUAUUGUAUCCUUGUCCCUGUCUUUGGGGCAACAACCCUAAGUACAAAUCACAAAGCGGGGAGGAAAAAGUGUGUCUCCGUCAGAACCCAGAGACAGUGCACCUGCUGGUGAAAGAAGACAUCUCAUGAGAUGAACUCUGGGUGAGAGAGAGGCAGGCGAGUGGGAGGCCCUGAGCUGCGGCCACAAGCAGCAGGAGGGAGGUUUCUGGGAGAAAGAAACCCCAAGGCAAAGGCUCAUGUCCACCUAGCUUAUUCUGUAAGGAUGCUGCCAAAACUCAGCCACUGUUUACCUUGGAGAAGGAUUUUUGGGGGAAGGAGGAAGAAAUAACUUAAAUUGCUUUGCCAGGCAAAUGGGGUCACAGCAGGCUGCUGCCCUAAAGACUGGCCCCCUUUGGGAGAGAUGAGGAGGGGGGUGGGUUUACAGUUUGGGAGUAUUAAGUAGGGCCACAAGUAAGGUUCAGGGUGGGUGCAAGCUUGCAUUCUUCUUCAGAGCUGGUGUUGAGGGAGCACAGGACAGGUGCUGGGGUCCUCCUCUCUGGCUGUCAUUAGUUGGGGGUUUAGUUCUGCACAAGAGCUCAAAGGCUUUGUUCUGUGUGUAUCCCUUGAGGGGGAACCAGGACCUGCCCCCCAGGCGGCACUGAGGUCCCCUGCCUACCCCUCCCUGGUUUCUGCAUCCCCUCUCUCCCCUCAUCAGCACCUGUGGGCACCUGUCCUUCAGGGUUCAGGGAAGGGCCUGGAGGCUGAAGCGUAUUCCCUAAACACAAGACAUGGGAGACACAGCGAGGCUGGUGCUUUUCCCACUGGGGCCACAGGCCUGAGGCCCAGGCCCUCAGGAAGCAGACACUGAGUCAAGCACAGGUCAGGUACAUUGUCCGGGUUCCCCACAAAGUCUCAUCCCUACCCUUUGGCAUCAGACAGAGAAAAGCAGAGAGACAGACAAAUAUGCUACUGGGUGAAAUGCCCAACCCCAGAGGCUCCGGGGCCUAACAUUAGAACCUGGAGAAGAUGUGUUACACUUUUGAAAGCUCUACCGUGAAUUCAACCAUGAAAGAGAAAACCGACCAUAUGACCCCGUGACCCCACUCCUGGACACACAUCCAGAAAAUACACAAAGUCUAAAUCAAAAAGAUCCAUGCACCCCCAUGUUCAUGGCAGAAGUAUUCCCAAGAGCCAAGGCCCAGAAACAACCUAAAUGUCCACGACAGGGGACUGGAUGAGAAGAUGUGGUGCAUAUGCACAGUGGAAGCCCACUCAGCCAAGACAAAGAGUGAAACUCUGCCACUGCAGCAACAGGGAUGGACGUGCAGGGCAUUAUGUUAAGUGACAUGAGUCAGCCAGAGAAAGACCAAUACUCUAUCACAGCACUCAAAUAUGGAAUGUAGACAAUACAGCAAUCGAGUGAGUAUAACAGAAGUACCAGACUCUCAGAAAACUUGGGGUGACCCAUCUGGGGGGGAGCAUAGGGGGAAGGGAUUAAGAGAUACAAAUGACUAUGUAGAAAAUAUACAAGCUGCAAGGGGAUCCUGUACAGCACAGGGAAGAGAGCCCAUAGUUUACAAUAAACAUGAAUGGAAUAUGUCGUCAAACAAGAAAAAGGCCCAUCUUCCCAGGCUCUGCACAGCCGUGCUGGCCGGGGCUAGAAGCUGGUUCUGCAGCACAGCUCCAACCUCCUUCCACACCCGUGUGUACUCACUGCUCCAGGGUCGCCAGGACCCAGGGCACCACAUGAGCAAGGCAGGGACCCUCCAACCUGCUGUGGGAGGGGAAUCUGGGGCCAUUCCCUCUCCCUUCUCCAGAUCCUGCUGCUACUGCUGCCCUAAGUAGCUCACGUCUCUUCCCAGCCCCAUUAUUCACCGGUCCAAGGAAUCUUCCUUCAUCCCAAACAGGCUCACAAAAUCAAACCCCAUACCAUUCCCUCAGGCUUGAUACCCACACCAUUACUCAGGAAAACACAUCCCCAAACUCCUCAGGCACCUCUGCCAGACCGCUGAGGGAAUUAAAUGGUGUAUCAGGGCCUGCAGAGCAGCCGAACCAAUAGAAUGUUUGAAAGCAGAGGGAGAGACAGAGUCAUUUUAAGGAAUCGUCUCAUGCAGUUAUGAAGGAUGGCAGGUCCAGAGGUUGCAGGCAGCCUGGAAAGCUGGAGGUAUAGGGAACAGGCAAUGCUGUAGCUUGAAGCUGCCAUCUGUCUGGAGGCAGAAUUCCCCCUACCUCGGGGACCUCAGUCUUUUCCCUUUAAAGGUCCUCAACUGAUUAGGUACGGACCACCCACACAGGACACACAUACUUCUUUGUUCUCUUAUUUGUUUGCUUCUUAGGGUCCCAACCUCAGCACAUGGACGUUCUUGGGCCAGGGGUCAAAUCAGAGCUGCAGCUGCCAGCCUACACCACAGCCACUGCCAACACGGGAUCUGAGCCACAUGAUCUAAUUAUACCUCACCUUGUGGCAAUGCUGGAUCCUUAAGCCCUCAUCAAAGCCAGUGACUGACCUUGCAUCUUCACCAACACUGUCAAAGUCUUCAUCCAUUAAGCCACAAACCCUGAGCCACAAAGGGAACGCCUUAUUUUUAGACUCUGCAUAUGGGUGAUGAUGAUAUAAGGAUGUGUCUUUCUCUGACUUAUCUCACCCAACACCACACCCUCCAGGUCCCGGUUGGAGGGAGGGAGCUGAGAGGGUCACCACCUCUCUCUCCAGGAAGCCGGCAUAAGACCCUGGGACACCCUGACCUCAGGCAUCUGGUCUCCAGGGCUGGGGGAGGGUGGGUUCCUGUGGUGGUAACCUGGGUGGUGUGUGGUCAUUUAUUGUCACAAGCCCACGAAAUACAUUUAUGGAGCAUACACAACCAAUCUCUAUGUCCGUGAGAAUCAACAAAUGCCAUCUUACAUUGUAGAAACACACCUGUCAGGAGACACCAGCGACAUGUAACUAUUUACACGGAAUAAGGGCCUCAGCCGUGAAAAAGCUAAGAGUCCAACCUGAGACGGUUGGGCACCACAAUGAGUCCCCAGUGUUGUC
rnacentral:lncRNA from 1 species